rnacentral:rRNA from 1 species
GACGAACGCUGGCGGCGUGGAUUAGGCAUGCAAGUCGAACGGUAUCAUCCUUUCGGGGGUGAGAGAGUGGCGAACUGGUGAGUAACACGUAGGUUAUCUACCCUCAAGACGGGGACAACCCAGGGAAACUUGGGCUAAUACCGGAUGUGAGCAACUUUUAGUUGUUUGAAAGGUGGCGUAAGCUGUCGCUUGGGGAUGAGCCUGCGUCCUAUUAGUUAGUUGGUGAGGUAACGGCUCACCUAGGCAAUGAUAGGUAGGCGGCCUUAACGGGUGGUCGCCCACACUGGGAUUGAGAUACGGCCCAGACUCCUACGGGAGGCAGCAGUCGAGAAUAGUCUACAAUGGUCGGAAGACUGAUAGUGCGACGCCGCGUGAACGAUGAAUCCCUUCGGGGUGUAAAGUUCUUUUAUAUGUGAGCAGUGCUUCUUAUAUUUAACAGUAUGGGGAGAGAGAUAUUAGCAUAUGAAUAAGCAACGGCUAACUCCGUGCCAGCAGCCGACGGUAAAC